rnacentral:rRNA from 1 species
CGCAGCCAGCUGCGAGAUUKGGUGUGAAUUGCAGGACACAUUGAGCACUGAUUUUUCGAACGCACAUUGCGGCCUCGGGUUCUGCCCGGGGCCUCGCCUGUCUGAGGGUCGGAUAAGACUUGCCAAGGUUGCUAAGGCUACCAAUUGUCCGCUUCGGAGACCCURAGGGGRCUUCGUCGGAUUAAGKGCUUUUAGGUUCCUCCCCGAUCAAAGUAGCAAAGUUCCAAUUGGAUGCUCGUGGAUCGGAGAAGACGACAGCUUCUCCACGUAUGCGAGACGGAACUUUGYUGAGAAGAAAUCAUAAAGGGGUUGCGUUCCUACCGGUGAACUGAGUUGGGACAGUACCCGGAACAUAAUUUACUUUGACGACCUCAGAUCAGACGAGAUGACCCGCUGAAUUUAAGCAUAUC